rnacentral:rRNA from 1 species
AUACGUAGGGUGCGAGCGUUGUCCGGAAUUACUGGGCGUAAAGAGCUCGUAGGUGGUUUGUCGCGUCGUCUGUGAAAUUCCGGGGCUUAACUCCGGGCGUGCAGGCGAUACGGGCAUAACUUGAGUACUGUAGGGGAGACUGGAAUUCUUGGUGUAGCGGUGAAAUGCGCAGAUAUCAGGAGGAACACCGGUGGCGAAGGCGGGUCUCUGGGCAGUAACUGACGCUGAGGAGCGAAAGCAUGGGUAGCGAACAGGAUUAGAUACCCUGGUAGUCCAUGCCGUAAACGGUGGGCGCUAGGUGUAGGGGUCUUCCACGACUUCUGUGCCGUAGCUAACGCAUUAAGCGCCCCGCCUGGGGAGUACGGCCGCAAGGCUAAAACUCAAAUGAAUUGGCGGGG